UCACACCUGUUCCCAUGCCGAACACAGAAGUUAAGCUCUUUAGCGCCGAUGGUAGUCGGACUUACGUUCCGCAAGAGUAGGACGGUGCCAGGU
rnacentral:rRNA from 1 species